rnacentral:tRNA from 1 species
AGUUAUUUAGCUUAUAUUUAAAGCAAAUAUUUUGAAAAUAUUAGAAAGAUCAUUUUAAUAACUU